CCUACGGGCGGCAGCAGUGGGGAAUAUUGGACAAUGGGCGAAAGCCUGAUCCAGCCAUGCCGCGUGUGUGAAGAAGGCCUUCGGGUUGUAAAGCACUUUCAGUGGGGAAGAAAGCCUUGGGGCUAAUACCCUCGAGGAAGGACAUCACCCACAGAAGAAGCACCGGCUAACUCCGUGCCAGCAGCCGCGGUAAUACGGAGGGUGCGAGCGUUAAUCGGAAUUACUGGGCGUAAAGCGCGCGUAGGCGGUCUGAUAAGCCGGUUGUGAAAGCCCCGGGCUCAACCUGGGAACGGCAUCCGGAACUGUCAGGCUAGAGUGCAGGAGAGGAAGGUAGAAUUCCCGGUGUAGCGGUGAAAUGCGUAGAGAUCGGGAGGAAUACCAGUGGCGAAGGCGGCCUUCUGGACUGACACUGACGCUGAGGUGCGAAAGCGUGGGUAGCAAACAGGAUUAGAUACCCCAUAGUC
rnacentral:rRNA from 1 species